AGAGUUUGAUCCUGGCUCAGGAUGAACGCUGGCGGCGUGCUUAACACAUGCAAGUCGAACGGGAUCCAUCAGGCUUUGCUUGGUGGUGAGAGUGGCGAACGGGUGAGUAAUGCGUGACCGACCUGCCCCAUACACCGGAAUAGCUCCUGGAAACGGGUGGUAAUGCCGGAUGCUCCGACUCCUCGCAUGGGGUGUCGGGAAAGAUUUCAUCGGUAUGGGAUGGGGUCGCGUCCUAUCAGGUAGUCGGCGGGGUAACGGCCCACCGAGCCUACGACGGGUAGCCGGCCUGAGAGGGCGACCGGCCACAUUGGGACUGAGAUACGGCCCAGACUCCUACGGGAGGCAGCAGUGGGGAAUAUUGCACAAUGGGCGCAAGCCUGAUGCAGCGACGCCGCGUGCGGGAUGACGGCCUUCGGGUUGUAAACCGCUUUUGAUCGGGAGCAAGCCUUCGGGUGAGUGUACCUUUCGAAUAAGCACCGGCUAACUACGUGCCAGCAGCCGCGGUAAUACGUAGGGUGCAAGCGUUAUCCGGAAUUAUUGGGCGUAAAGGGCUCGUAGGCGGUUCGUCGCGUCCGGUGUGAAAGUCCAUCGCUUAACGGUGGAUCUGCGCCGGGUACGGGCGGGCUGGAGUGCGGUAGGGGAGACUGGAAUUCCCGGUGUAACGGUGGAAUGUGUAGAUAUCGGGAAGAACACCAAUGGCGAAAGCAGGUCUCUGGGCCGUUACUGACGCUGAGGAGCGAAAGCGUGGGGAGCGAACAGGAUUAGAUACCCUGGUAGUCCACGCCGUAAACGGUGGAUGCUGGAUGUGGGGCCCGUUCCACGGGUUCCGUGUCGGAGCUAACGCGUUAAGCAUCCCGCCUGGGGAGUACGGCCGCAAGGCUAAAACUCAAAGAAAUUGACGGGGGCCCGCACAAGCGGCGGAGCAUGCGGAUUAAUUCGAUGCAACGCGAAGAACCUUACCUGGGCUUGACAUGUUCCCGACAGCCGUAGAGAUAUGGCCUCCCUUCGGGGCGGGUUCACAGGUGGUGCAUGGUCGUCGUCAGCUCGUGUCGUGAGAUGUUGGGUUAAGUCCCGCAACGAGCGCAACCCUCGCCCUGUGUUGCCAGCACGUCAUGGUGGGAACUCACGGGGGACCGCCGGGGUCAACUCGGAGGAAGGUGGGGAUGACGUCAGAUCAUCAUGCCCCUUACGUCCAGGGCUUCACGCAUGCUACAAUGGCCGGUACAACGGGAUGCGACACGGCGACGUGGAGCGGAUCCCUGAAAACCGGUCUCAGUUCGGAUUGGAGUCUGCAACCCGACUCCAUGAAGGCGGAGUCGCUAGUAAUCGCGGAUCAGCAACGCCGCGGUGAAUGCGUUCCCGGGCCUUGUACACACCGCCCGUCAAGUCAUGAAAGUGGGUAGCACCCGAAGCCGGUGGCCUAACCCUUUGUGGAUGGAGCCGUCUAAGGUGAGACUCGUGAUUGGGACUAAGUCGUAACAAGGUAGCC
rnacentral:rRNA from 1 species